AAGAGGAGUGGCGAACGGGUGAGUAACACGUGGGUAACCUGCCCAUCAGAAGGGGAUAACACUUGGAAACAGGUGCUAAUACCGUAUAACAAUCGAAACCGCAUGGUUUUGAUUUGAAAGGCGCUUUCGGGUGUCGCUGAUGGAUGGACCCGCGGUGCAUUAGCUAGUUGGUGAGGUAACGGCUCACCAAGGCGACGAUGCAUAGCCGACCUGAGAGGGUGAUCGGCCACAUUGGGACUGAGACACGGCCCAAACUCCUACGGGAGGCAGCAGUAGGGAAUCUUCGGCAAUGGACGAAAGUCUGACCGAGCAACGCCGCGUGAGUGAAGAAGGUUUUCGGAUCGUAAAACUCUGUUGUUAGAGAAGAACAAGGAUGAGAGUAACUGUUCAUCCCUUGACGGUAUCUAACCAGAAAGCCACGGCUAACUACGUGCCAGCAGCCGCGGUAAUAC
rnacentral:rRNA from 1 species